rnacentral:rRNA from 1 species
UACGUAGGGUGCGAGCGUUAAUCGGAAUUACUGGGCGUAAAGCGUGCGCAGGCGGUUCGUUGUGUCGGCGGUGAAAGCCCCGGGCUCAACCUGGGAAUGGCCGUUGAAACUGGCGAACUGGAGUGUGGCAGAGGGGGGUGGAAUUCCGCGUGUAGCAGUGAAAUGCGUAGAGAUGCGGAGGAACACCGAUGGCGAAGGCAGCCCCCUGGGCUGACACUGACGCCCAGGCACGAAAGCGUGGGGAGCAAACAGG